GACGAAGGGGGCUAGCGUUGUUCGGAAUUACUUGGCGUAAAGCGCGUGUAGGUGGUUGUCCUAGUUGGAUGUGAAAGCCUUGAGCUCAACUCAAGAAAUGCAUUCAGGACUGGGCGACUAGAGGACCGGAGAGGAUAGUGGAAUUCCCAGUGUAGAGGUGAAAUUCGUAGAUAUCGAGAGGAACACCGGUGGCGAAGGCGGCCAACUGGACAGAUACUGACGCUGAGACACGAAAGCGUGGGGAGCAAACAGG
rnacentral:rRNA from 1 species